rnacentral:rRNA from 1 species
GACGAACGCUGGCGGCGUGCCUAAUACAUGCCAGUAGAACGCACAGUUUAUACCGUAGCUUGCUACACCAUAGACUGUGAGUUGCGAACGGGUGAGUAACGCGUAGGUAACCUGCCUGGUAGCGGGGGAUAACUAUUGGAAACGAUAGCUAAUACCGCAUAAUAUUGAUUAUUGCAUGAUAAUUGAUUGAAAGAUGCUAUUGCAUCACUACCAGAUGGACCUGCGUUGUAUUAGCUAGUAGGUGAGGUAACGGCUCACCUAGGCGACGAUACAUAGCCGACCUGAGAGGGUGAUCGGCCACACUGGGACUGAGACACGGCCCAGACUCCUACGGGAGGCAGCAGUAGGGAAUCUUCGGCAAUGGACGAAAGUCUGACCGAGCAACGCCGCGUGAGUGAAGAAGGGUUUCGGAUCGUAAAGCUCUGUUGUAAGAGAAGAACGGGUGUGAGAGUGGAAAGUUCACACUGUGACGGUAUCUUACCAGAAAGGGACGGCUAACUACGUG